rnacentral:sRNA from 1 species
CAUCUUUGUUCAGUUAUUUAUUUAUUAAACAUUUAUGGAGCAUCCAUUCUCUGUCAGUCGUUGCGCCAAGGUGCUGUGCACACAUUUCGUCGGCAUGAAAUGAGAAAUCAGUUUGUUGUAGUCAUCCAGAAAAUGCUUUUCCCUAAAUCUGCAUUUAGUCAGAUUUUAUGUUUUUCUGUACUUGACAUGUUUUGUUUUCUUCUUUUUAGCAUUUCUGGAAAGGAGUCCAUUAUCGCUGGGCAUUUUUCAUGGCCAGUGGCCCAUGUUUAGAUGACAUUGCAGAACUGGUGGAUGCAGGAAAGAUCCGGCCAGUUAUCGAACAAACCUUUCCUUUUUCUAAAGUUCCAGAAGCCUUCCUGAAGGUGGAAAGAGGACACGCACGAGGAAAGACUGUAAUUAACGUUGUUUAAAUAAAAAUGCAGUUUAGUGAU